rnacentral:tRNA from 1 species
GCCCCCAUAGUAUAAUCAAUUACCCUG